rnacentral:rRNA from 1 species
GAUGAACGCUGGCGGCGUGCCUAAUACAUGCAAGUCGAGCGAACAGACGAGGAGCUUGCUCCUCUGACGUUAGCGGCGGACGGGUGAGUAACACGUGGAUAACCUACCUAUAAGACUGGGAUAACUUCGGGAAACCGGAGCUAAUACCGGAUAAUAUAUUGAACCGCAUGGUUCAAUAGUGAAAGACGGUUUUGCUGUCACUUAUAGAUGGAUCCGCGCCGCAUUAGCUAGUUGGUAAGGUAACGGCUUACCAAGGCAACGAUACGUAGCCGACCUGAGAGGGUGAUCGGCCACACUGGAGCUGAGACACGGUCCAGACUCCUACGGGAGGCAGCAGUAGGGAAUCUUCCGCAAUGGGCGAAAGCCUGACGGAGCAACGCCGCGUGAGUGAUGAAGGUCUUCGGAUCGUAAAACUCUGUUAUUAGGGAAGAACAAAUGUGUAAGUAACUAUGCACGUCUUGACGGUACCUAAUCAGAAAGCCACGGCUAACUACGUG